CGCUUCCCAUCCUGGAGGUCCAGAGACGCCCAGUAAUUCGGGGAUGGGAGAAGUCAGAGAUGGCCGGCGGGGACCCCAAAUCUUCAAUCUUGUCCUCCCUACAAGAGAGCUCUGUGACAGUGCCCUGGCUGCAUUUGACCUGGGUGACAGAGGCAAGCCCAGAAAACCGCCCAAAGCGGAGAGGGGAGGAAUCCCCCAGUCUUGUUUGAAGCCUGCAAGUCCAAACAGCGGACGCUGCUCAGGGAGGAGACGGCUGCUUGGAAUCCAACCACCCUCCAUCCCGGAUCCUAAAUUCUUCUCUUAUUGCCCGCUGUCUUGGAGAUCAAACAGCACAACGCUGCCUUCCUUUCCUCUCUUCCUUUCUCACUCCCGCCAGGGCCCCCUUGUUGCCGAGUCACUUAAAUCAUUACAGAAAGAUGUCUAGGUUCACAGACACCAAACCCUUUCAAAGAGAGGCGUGGGCUCCCGAAAGCGAAGCUCAGAAAGGCACAGAGGAAACUCUCCCGGUUCCAAAAUGUAGCCAACCACAUGUUCAGGGAGAGGAUCAGCUGCUUUGCUGGCUCUCCGUGUCCUUCUCUGGCAUCUCCUCAGAGCUUGGCUCCCCAGGGGGCCACUUCUGGACUGUGGUUGGGCCUCUGACACAAUGUGGGACCUUUGGUUAUGGGAGAGGUAGGUCGAGUCUCCUUGAGAAGCAGCCUGUUCAAUCAAGUGCACCUCUCUGUUGCAUGCCCCUCCUUCCUAAAGCCUUUCCUUAACCCUCCAGCCCAAAAGUACCACGCCUUCCUCUAAGUUUUAUCUUCUUUAUCCAAGAAUGUAAGUUCCUUAAAGGAGAGGUUAUGGCCUGUUCAAUUUUGCGUCCAUCACAAUAUGCGACACUGCACACCAUAGGAGUCAAACAAAUGUCUGUUUAAUGAAAAACAGAGCUUGUCUGUUGAUAUGACAUGAAGUCUAAUUACAUAGUUAUUAUUCUCAGCCCCCAAUGAGGAAUGAGUUUUAUGUUAUGGAGGAAAGAUUCUUCUGCAUAAUAAAAAUACCAUUGUAUGCCUGCUGCCUUUAUGU
rnacentral:lncRNA from 1 species